CUGAAUGUUGGGGUGGGGGCGGUUUUUUCCUGCCGGUAUUUUGAGGGAGCGCUCUUAAGUAUUUUAUUUCAGUCUCGCUUUCGAUGCGCGUUUCCCUGGCAGUUCAGCAGCAUCUCUCGGGCGGGGCAGCUGGGCGGACGUCCCUCCCGACUCCAUAACACGCCAAAACCCCCCAGUCACGUUGCUGCUGUGUAUUUUGGAGAUAGAUAAUCUUAUGGCGGGUGUGAACGGCUGUGUGAGUUAAAUGAACGCAGAAGGAAAAUGGAAAGCUUUCAGAGCCUAGACGCUCAUAUUGGAUGUGCGUAAACACGCGCCCGCCUUCUCAGCACAAAGUGCAUUACUGAGAUUUAUUCUUAAUUUUUUACGUUACUCUUUCAAGUUUGACGCUUCGCUUCAGGCUUCAUGGAGCCAGGCAGCAAGACGUGCGGCGGCAGGGCGAGGGCUGUAGCUGCUGCGGCGGAUCUGUAAGCGGAGGUUCCGGUUCCGGUACAACUUUGCCCCGCAGCCUCACGGGGUUAUCUCCCCGCAGCGGUGCCGUAAGGAAGGGAUGAGACGUUUUCCAGCACCAGCCAGAGCGUUCAGUGUUACGCGAAGAAUCUGUUCAAAACGGUAUCGAUGUCUUCUCAGUGUCUCGUGAUGCUCAAGAGAUGCCCCCCGGCCCGGGUUUGCCUGCCGGUCGUUAAGCGUGGUGAAGGUAAGGGGCCAUCCCUCUGCCUGGGGGCUCCCGGCUCUGUCUCCAGCGGGUGCCCCGCAGGUGCGGCCGCGAGGGCUGCCUGGUGGGGAGAGUCGGGGCCCCCAGGGGCCGGGGCUGUUUGUCGCCCCGGGGAGCCCGUCCCAGCGCGGGAACAUGUCCGAGCAGAGCCCGAGAGAGACGUGACACCGUCCUCUGGCACGCUCCCGCUCCGCCGUGGGGCGGCCGCUAGCCUGCGGACAGGGGCUGGGGGGGCUGCAGCUGUUUGGGGGGCUGCCCCACCUUUUAGAUUUUAGCAGAGCUCCCCCUUUUCUGGGGGGUGGGGUGUGUGUGUGUGUGUGUACCUUUGUAAAUGGCACUAUUAAAGUAAUGAGCUGCA